AAUUCGGUCUCACGCAAUGGGAAUCUGCGAACCGUGUCAGGUUGGGAACAAAGCAGCACUAAGCAGAACCUUCCAUGUGCCGUGAGGUCACCGGGUGGAG
rnacentral:SRP_RNA from 1 species